rnacentral:tRNA from 1 species
GCCCGGAUGGUCUAGUGGUAUGAUUCUCGCUUGUAAGCUGCGAGAGGCCCCGCGUUCGAACCGCGGUUCGGGCC